rnacentral:tRNA from 3 species
GGCAGGAUAGCUCAGUGGUAGAGCAGAGGAUUCAUAAGCCUAAGGUCGGGAGUUCAACUCUCCCUCCUGCUACCA